rnacentral:lncRNA from 1 species
CUCUCCACCGACUGCAACCUCCGUGCUCACAGCUCACGGUUCACCAGAAUCCAGGGGCUUGGUCGGCCUAGGAAUCCACAAUGCUGGAUAUUUUCAUCCUGAUGUUCUUUGCCAUCAUAGGCCUGGUCAUUCUGUCCUACAUUAUCUAUCUGCUCUAGUGGCCUGGAGCUGCGGCCGGAGCCUGCUGGAGAACAGCUCAGAAGGAAGGAUGGAGAUGAAUGGCCGAGUGCCCUGCUUGCUGACGCACCGGUGGAUUUUUGCUUCUGCUGUUAUCUCGGCUCCUGGUCUCUCCAGUCCAACAAGAGGCCUCUCAUCCACAGAAGCAGUCCUACUGCCCAGCAGACCUCUUUCAGAGCCUUCCAGACAUGGCUGACCCCUGGCAAGCAAGGGGCUUUUUGAGCUGAGAGGCACUUGGCUGGGACUUCAGGAAUUCAUGGACAGGGCUGGCAGAUACUGCAUAUGUUUGAGCUGUAGAUGGGAUUGAGAACAGAAAGUUGAAAUGGAGACUUAUUAAAGUUACCGUGGAGAACUGCUCAAAAAUUCAUUUUGAAUUAAGGAAACUUAAAUUCAUUUUAAGUUUCCUUAGAUCUAAAUGCAACUGCACAUUACACUCAAAUAUGUUCCUUCCUUCUCACACACAGGACUCCCUUGUGAAACUCAAGGGGAAGUUCAAGUUGUCCAUCUUCAUCUAUGAAGUAGUCACUUUAUCACUGUCUUUACAGAUUGCACAGUCUGGGGUUUUGUGGUUUCUCUUGUCUCACUCUCCAGCCAGGAAGAACUUGUCAUUUGAGUUUUUAAAAUGUAUCAUUUCUUCCCCACCUCAAACCACUUGUAUCCCAGUUUCUCAUUUAAAGGGAGAAAUGGUUAUAUAGUCCUCUCUUUGCACCUGAUUGAAUUAUAAAUGAUAGAAACAAGAUGGCUAUACUUAUUUAGGAAAAAUCUCUUACCCCAAAAUGAGUGUGUGUGUGUGUGUGUGUGUGCGUGUGUGUGUGUGUGUGUGUUUUAAUCAAAGAUCUUUUCUGGAAAAAACUUUCCACAUAGUUCUCUGACCCAUUAGAGUUGAAGAAACUAUGUAUUUUGGGAUUCAGAGUAGAAUUGGCCUGCAAAUCUGGGGUGUUUAUUCCUUUUACAAGUCUAUCAUAAUUGUUCUACAUUUAAUUUUCCUUUCUUGCUUAAAAGUAAACAAGGAGAGUCAGGAGUGGUGGCUCAUGCCUGUAAUCCCAGCACUCUGGGAGGCCGAGGCGGAUGGAUCACCUGAGGUCAGGAGUUGGAGACCAGCCUGGCCAACACGGUGAAACCCCGUCUCUACUAAAAAUACAAAAAUUAGUCAGGCACAGUAGUGCGCGCCUGUAGUCCCAGCUACCCGGGAGGCUGAGGCCGAAGAAUUGCUUGAACCCGGGAGGCAGAGGUUGUAGUGAGCCGACAUCAUGUCACUGCACUCCAGCCUGGGAGACAUAGCGAGAUUCCGUCUCAAAUAAAAUAAAAUAAAUAAAUAAAUAAACAAGGAGAAAGAUUAGUUUUUAGUAAUAACAUUGUGUCCAAUUUCCAUGUUUUAAAACAAAAAUUGAGGCAUUAUAUGUCACAACUGAAAUGGAAAAGUUGUGUUUAAAAAUUAUGGACAAGGCCGGGCACGGUGGCUCACGCCUGGAAUCCCAGCACUUUGGGAGGCUCAGGCAGGAGGAUCACUUGAGGUCGGGAGUUUGAGACCAGUCUGACCAACGUGGUGAAACCCUGUCUCUACUAAAAAUACAAAAAUUAGCUGGUGUGGUGGCAGGUGCCUGUAAUCCCAGCUACUCAGGAGGCUGAGGCAGGAGAAUCGCUUGAACCUGGGAGGCAGAGGUUGCAGUGAGCCGAGAUCACACCUCUGCACUCCAGCCUAGGUGACACAGCAAGACCCCAUCUCAAAAAAAAAUAAUAAU